rnacentral:rRNA from 1 species
CCUACGGGAGGCUGCAGUGAGGAAUAUUGGUCAAUGGACGAGAGUCUGAACCAGCCAAGUAGCGUGAAGGAUGACUGCCCUAUGGGUUGUAAACUUCUUUUAUAUGGGAAUAAAAUGUUCCACGUGUGGGAUUUUGUAUGUACCAUAUGAAUAAGGAUCGGCUAACUCCGUGCCAGCAGCCGCGGUAAUACGGAGGAUCCGAGCGUUAUCCGGAUUUAUUGGGUUUAAAGGGAGCGUAGAUGGAUUGUUAAGUCAGUUGUGAAAGUUUGCGGCUCAACCGUAAAAUUGCAGUUGAGACUGGCAGUCGUGAGUACAGUAGAGGUGGGCGGAAUUCGUGGUGUAGCGGUGAAAUGCUUAGAUAUCACGAAGAACUCCGAUUGCGAAGGCAGCUCACUGGACUGCAACUGACACUGAGGCUCGAAAGUGUGGGUAUCAAACAGGAUUAGAUACCCCAGUAGUC